UACGAACCGAGCGAACGUUGUUCGGAAUCACUGGGCUUAAAGGGUGCGUAGGCGGCGCGGUAAGUGGGGUGUGAAAUCCCUCAGCUCAACUGAGGAACUGCGCUCCAAACUACCGUGCUUGAGUGAGACAGAGGUAAGCGGAACUUCGGGUGGAGCGGUGAAAUGUGUUGAUAUCCGAAGGAACACCGGUGGCGAAAGCGGCUUACUGGGUCUCAACUGACGCUGAUGCACGAAAGCUAGGGUAGCAAACGGG
rnacentral:rRNA from 1 species